GCGGCGUGCUUAACACAUGCAAGUCGAGCGAGAAGCCAAUGUUUGAUUCUUCGGAAGAUACUUUGGUGGAAAGCGGCGGACGGGUGAGUAACGCGUGGGCAACCUACCUUAUACAGGGGGACAACAUCGGGAAACCGGUGCUAAUACCGCAUAACACAUUGAAAUGGAAUCAUUAUGAUGUCAAAGGAGGAAUCCGGUAUAAGAUGGGCCCGCGUCCAAUUAGCUAGUUGGUGAGGUAACGGCUCACCAAGGCGACGAUUGGUAGCCGAACUGAGAGGUUGAUCGGCCACAUUGGGACUGAGACACGGCCCAGACUCCUACGGGAGGCAGCAGUGGGGAAUAUUGCACAAUGGGGGAAACCCUGAUGCAGCAACGCCGCGUGAAGGAUGAAGGUCUUCGGAUUGUAAACUUCUUUGAUUGGGGAAGACGAAGUGACGGUACCCAAAAAACAAGCCACGGCUAACUACGUGCCAGCAGCCGCGGUAAUACGUAGGUGGCAAGCGUUGUCCGGAAUUACUGGGUGUAAAGGGCG
rnacentral:rRNA from 1 species